UGGAUAAAGUCCAGAAACCCAAUAUAUCAAUACAUUUUGUAGCUCAUAAAAUAAAACAUUCUAGGUCUUCAACAUAUUGUUAAUUGUGUGGAGAAUUUACCAGUUCCAUCAUUUUUAUUACUGUAAACUGGUGUAACCGUUCCACUGCUGUGCUGUCUAUUUAAAUAUUAUUUAUGCUAUUAAUUUGAAAUUUAAUUGUUGAAUGUAAGGACAUGAACAAGUGUAGUGGGACUUAGGUCAAUUCUUGUAUUUAAGAGCUACCGUCUUCCUACGCUUACACCAAAAGCAGGAAGAUACGUGUUGAAGAUUUAUUAAGGGAAAGUUACAUAAAGAAUGGCUAAAGAAGUUUUUGUGAGUUCUUUAGUUGACAAAUUUCUACAAGCUAUAUAUUUUAGCAGGGUGAUGGGUUUAGAACCCAAGCCACGCUACACAUUCAUCACUUUUUUGACAGGAGUUCGUUAAGACAGAAUUUCUUCACCCCUUUGUAAGAGUUAAAGUGAUUGGAGGAAUGUCUAAUUAGAAUACCUCUAAAUUUUAAACCGACCAAUCACGGAAAUUUGAGUGUGUGAUAGAACAAGGACGCUGGUGAAAGCCAGGAACUGAACGUCCGAGGAAGCGUCAGUUGUCAGACUCAGUCAAAAACCGGGAGUCGAAAGAAUCAGACGUGGAGUCGAAAGAACCAGACGCGAAGUCGGAAAUCGGGACUAGAAAGGACCAGAUGUGAAGUCACUUACGGGGCUAUCUAGAUGAGAAAUAACUUUAUAGUAACAAGCUGUAAUGAUAAAGUGUAAUAAUCUGUUGUGAAGUGUGAAACCACGGUUAGAAGUAUAAUAAUAAUAUUAAAACAGGAUGAGCUAAAUUUAGAAGGUAGCAAACAGUCCGACAGUAACAAGUGUUUGAUAAAUUGUAAACUGAAAGUGUCGCAACUGAUCAAGAGUAAUAAUAAUACCUCAGGAACUCAAGUGUGGUGGUGUUGCAUAAGUGUUCUACCUGCCUUUCUAAGUGUGGUCCAUUAAGACCUUGAGACAGAGAACUCAGCUCUACUGCUCCCAACAACCUUACCCUUGUUAAUCUUAUCAACCCUGAGAAACUUAAUCCUAUCAACCCUGAGAAGUUUAAUCCUAACCCUGAGAAAAUAAAUUAAGAAGAAAUAAAAAGGUAGGUGGCGUCAUCAACAAGAAGGAGAAGAAGAGGGUGAGGAGGAGCAGUGAAGAAGAGGCGCUUCUGACGAAGACGUCGCAAGUCCAGAGUACGGUUACACUGGAUUUAAGGUUCUCAUAAUGACUGAGGGGAGUGGUAAUCUGGGCUUUGAUGUCAUGUAGUUUGGAGAAGGCCUAAUGUUUCAGAGUACAAUAUCACUUCCACCUUCAUGACCAAAGGGAAGGCCAAGCAAGAAACCAGAAAGCUGUGGAUGUCAACCUAAGCUCUUCUCUUUAGCCCUGAAGAUGGAGGUGGUAUGUCCCUGCAAAUCAUUGAGCUUUUUCUAACUAUAUGCCAUUGCGACCCACAUGACUGUACUCUCAAAAUCAUAACUUGCUCAUAAAUUGGAAUGACGGUACAAAUGUUAUCAAUAUAUGCAUAUUUGUAACUAAAGAAAAUAAUGACAUUAGGCAGAAUUCUUUUUAAUGAAAUAUUGAAAAAUGUGACUCAACAGCUGUGUUCAAAUAUUGAGGGGGCUAUGAUUCCGUUCAUAAGAAUUAUCAAUUAACAUGUAUCCAAAAACAUAACCUCUUUUAAGUGGUUCACUGUUUAAUGAUACUGAAAACAAAACAUCCCUCUGCCUCUCAUAUGCAACAAUUAAAACAAACUUCUUAAUACUCAUUUGCAGUCAGGGAUGAUCCUACACUAUAGGGAGUUAAAUUAAAUUCAAUUAAAUUGCUUAAGUUGUACAGCAGUAGGAAAAUCACGUAGUAGAAGUACAUGUAUAUGUCUAUUUAAGUAAAUUAUUCAAAUUUGUAUUUGGUUUUGUGUUUGCCCAAUUGAAAAUUGUGUAAAUUCCAACAUGAAAUUAGUGUUCUGGAUACUUCCAUAUCCUUUAUGACAUCAUGACAAAUUCUCACAUGAUUAACUUAUUGCGAGAAGGUGUAUUCAAUUUAGAAAUCAUGUAAGCAUUUGGUUUUUGUUCCUCCAAGAUGGUUCAAUGACUUGUUCCAUUUUGCUGUUCUCUGAAUGUUUUUACAAGAACUUUUAUAACAUCAAGGAAAGAAAUGUACACACCAUUGAGGAAAGUAGUCUGAAGCUCCUGAAUUAUUCCUCUUAAUUACAUUUAGUUUAAAAUUUAAUAAUUUACAUGUAAGUGGACGCAUUAAUGAAGUCUCAAGUUGAGAAUAAUGCCUUCUGUGGUGUAAUAUCACUUAGUCCAGUAGAAUUUCUUGGACUUUUUUAGGAACAUAUUCCCUUGAUUUUCAAGCUUGAAGAACACAUAGUGAGCCCUGAGAUGUAGGAAGUACGAGUAUGUCCCUUUGAAACUUCAAUAAAAUUCUACCAAACUACAUGGCACUACAUCUAAGGAGAUAGUACUCUUCAUAGUUACUGCUGUGAGAACCUUAAGGCCAACACAAAUCAGAAGUGUUUGUCACAUUAUUUCCAAAAUCAUUUCCAGUGUCCAGUUAGUGAAAGGAGGACUAUGUUAUCUGUAUUUAUAUGAAGAUGGGAUUUCCACAUCUGAGUCAAGUCUUAAAAUUAUUUAUAAGUAAUGUAUAAAUUCUUUGUAACCAUUUAGAUAAUUUGGUAUCAAUUUGGUUACAGUUCUGCAGUACACAAGUAACAGAUUUUUCUUUUAUAGAGAUGUUCAUGAGAAUCUUUCAUAUUUAAUAAUGAAGUAAAAUUAAACUGAUGUUACUACUGUUUAGUAAAUUAUUUUAUAAUAUCAUUAAUUCAAAUCAAAAUAUACAAGAGUCAGUUAAUUUAUUUGGAAUUAUUUUUAGAAUCUUUUUCACUACUUCAUAAAGUGCUCGUAUAUGAUAUAGAUUUCUCAGUGUCUUAACUCAUAUUUUCUUUUAAAGAAAUUGUGAUGACCUAGUUCAUGUAAAUUAAAUUGCUUGGGGAUCAGACUUUAUAUGUUUCCAUCAUAACUGAAGAAGAAAUAAAAGAAAAUGUUCUACAUAUUAAGAAAAUAUUUCUUGACAAAUUUUUAUUAUGCACAAGAGGCAAAGAAUUACGUGUAUUCAGCUUUCAAGAUUAUGUGAAAGUGUUCUUGAGAACUGUGGAAAGCGAAGUGUUAAAUAAUAAAUUUGAUCAAUUCAAAACUUGAUGUCCUAAUGUGGAGAGGUUAUGGAUAAAAAUAAACUAUAGUUAAUGCCAUAUAUGGAAAAUAAUUUGGUUUCAGAGAUUUUACAACAUAACUCCUAUUGAUGGAACUAGUUUAAUCAGAAAGUGAUUUUUAGUGUUUUACAUUUUCUGCCACUUUACACUUAAAAAGUUAUGUAUUAAAUACAAUGUUUUAGUGAUUAUAUUUGUUUAAGAAGUUGUAGAAAAAAAAAACGAUAAAUACUGGAUAAUUCAAUGAAACUGCACAUAAGAGAGGAUGUUCCUCUGAAGUGUAAAAACAUGCACAAGUAGCAAUGAUGUUAAUGGAUAUGCGUAAGGUUAGUUGAAAAUUAAAUAUCAAAUAUAAUUAAAAAACUGAACAGAUAUAGCAAAUACAAGUAAUAUCUUACUGAGCUGUCCACUACUGCUGGUUCCUUAUUAUACAGAUUAAAAUUUCGAAGUUCAAGACGAAGUACUACAGCAUCCGUUAUACCUUCAACAGUCAACAUUCCAUGUGGAAAGUCUGUAUAUCCAUAUAUAACUUCAAAGCAACUAUAUAACAUGUGUGAUGGUGAUGUAUAACAGAGGCUAAAGAUGACUUUCUGGUUGUGUGUGGUUUCUUUGAUGGAAAUGAUAGAGCAGCAUUGAAGGAACACCAGUGUUGAUAUCCAAGUCAGAAGUAACGCAACAGAUAUGCCGGCGGUGGCAUUUUCGAAAAUCAGCGUUAAGCACCAAUAAAUUCAAAUUAAAGUCUGAAAGAAACAAUUUACCUGGCUCCACGGUGAUCACCAUUCCUGGUUCAAGAGGGACACUCCGCGGGAUGAG